AGCAUUUUACAAAUCUGACUCGGUGGAUAGAUUCACAACGAGUGUAGCUUUAAUUCAGUAUAUUGUAUGUCAAUUUUAAUGAAAGUUUGAGUUUUAUCAAAAACUAUACGUGGCGCACUUGAAAUUUCCACUGAUUUCCACUGAUUGAUGUUCCCACAGCGGGAGCACUUCCCUAACAAGUUUUAAGCUCUGAUGUCUAAGUGAAGAAAUUCAUUUUCACACGUGAGCACUGGGUGUAAGUACUUGGCAAAUGCGUGUGGCAUGAUGUGUCUCAAGUGUGUUUUACAAUUGCAAACUGAGUGUAAAGCAGAUAAUGGGCGUGCAAUUUUACAGAUUGGUCUGAAGAUUAGGUAUAUGAGUUAAUGGUUUCACUGAGUGUGCCUCAAGUAUCACUUUUAGUGUGUAAAAGAUUGUAAAAAACUGUAAUUAACUAGAAGACUGAUGGUGACUGGUUAGCUACGGGGAAGCAAGAUUGUAUAAACCGAAGCAGAGCCUGAGCGCAACCUGUAUGCUUGUCUGCUCACACUCAUUGCUUGCUCCCCUGCAGCUCACCAGCUGAUGCAGGGUGUGGCAGCAGUCCUUCCCACUGCUGAACUGUGCUUACCACUGAAAAGCUCUCAAUCUCUCCCAGAUAAUUUAGUCUCGUCUUGUUUUAGUUAACUGAAAUUCAUGUUUUUAUUUUUAAUGUUUUUAUUUUUAUUCUCAUCAAUUGACACUGAAAAAUAGAUGUUUGAGGAAUAUUUUAGUCACUAUUUUUGUUGACUAAAUUAAAACUGCAUUGAUAUAUGUACUGGACAAUUUAACCUCUAAAUAAAGACAAGUGACUAGAACCUCUCUGUGUGUGUGUGUGUGUGUGUGUGUGUGUGUGUGUGUGUGUGUGUGUGUGUGUGUGUGUGUGUGUGUGUGUGUAUAUGUUAGACCUCAGAACUGCUGGAGUGUGACUGCUAAAUUGUGUAACUCUUUGUUUUUACAUUUUAGUCAUUUAGCAGACUCUCUUAUCCAAGAGUGACAAUACAAUAAGUGCAUUCAUCUUAAGAUACCUAGGUGAGACAACCACAUAUCACAGUCCUAGUAAGUACAUUUCCCUCAAUAAACAAGUUAUCAGCAAAGUUAGUGCUAGUAGGAAAAGAGAAAUUCAGGUUGUUGUUUUGUAAUAUAAAAAAAUAUACAAAAAUGGGGGGGGUGGCUAUUUAGGAUACUAUUUUUCUGAUGUUGGUGAUGUAAUUGGAUUUUUCAAUGACUCUAUGCAAAUGUAUGUUUUUCAACAGGACAAUGACCCAACACACCUCCACAAUUGCCCAACCGCAACCCAAUUGAGAUGGUUUAGGAUGAGUUGACUGCAGAGUGAAGGAAAAGCAGCCAACAAGUGCUCAGCAUAUGUGGGAACUCCUUCAAGACUGUUGGAAAAGCAUUCCAGCAGUCACGUCUGGUGAGCGUGCAACCCUGUGCCUUCAGAAAAAAAGUACUCAGCUCAACAGCUCCUCAGUGUGUGAGCACGGCUGUAGCCUUUUGAUGUCUGUCCUCUGCAUAGCAGUUCACACAGAGCAGUGGAAUGCCCAAGGACAAAAUCAAUCUGCUCUGCGCGACACCUGGCAUGUAAAAGUCCGUAAUCAUACCGCUCUCUAGUACCGUUUGAACCUGAUUUUAACAUGGGUCCUUUGUCCUGAUCUUAUCUACAUUCUGUUUGGCCAACAUUUCCAGAAAUGUGCCCACAUAUGGUAUUUAAAUGUGUCUGUUAUCAAUCUGUCCACUGUCUGCAUUGUGACCAGAUGUCCUGGUCCCUUUCUUUAUGCAAAGUAUUUACAGCUUUUCUUACAAUAACUAAAUAAAUAUUAUUUUCUAAGACACAUAUUGAUGUAAUCAGUUAAUCGUGCCACUUGUCAAUGAUUUUAGAGGGUGGAAUAACUAUGAUUUAAAUGGUAUCUCUGUCCAGAUCUGUCUACAUUUGUAAGAUAUCCAGACACAAUGUGUGUCUGACUACCUCCGGAGGUGGGCAGAAUGAGCUGUCUUUUGUUUGUCUACACCUGUUUAAAAAUGUGGGCAAGAUCAGAAUGUAGAUAAAGUCAGUACAAAGGAUGAAAGUUACAACCAGGUAUAAACAGUGCUUCUGAAACAUCAUGCGUAUUUGACUUUUCUUAUCGAGAUGGGAAGAGUCCUUUUCCCAGAAACCCAGCUGACCUUUAUCCUGGCUGUACCUAGUUAACCCUAACCUUUAACGCUUUUGGAAAACACAGCUGGUGUUUACACAGACAGACCAAUUUUGAUCUUCGGCACAAGUGUUGGAAAAUAACUGAUCUGAUUGGGCAAAAGACCAAUUAGUGUAAAGAUCUAAGAAUUGAGAUGACUGUGUAAACGCAGCCCACCUGGCACACAGAAUGCUAUUUUUUUCUCUUAAAUGAAAAGUAACUGCAUGGUUAAAUUCUUUUAAAUCACAGGCUGCGUUUACGAAGGUUGCCCAAUUCUGAUAUUUUCCCCAAUUAUUGGCAAAAGAGCUGAUCUGAUUGGUCAAAAGACCAAUUAGUAUGAAAUAUCAAAAUUAGGCUUCCUGUGUAAACACAGCCAUAGACAUACGCAUAAAUAUAGCUUUUCUAUCAGUGCUAGUUGAAUGGCUACCUACACAGGCAGCCCAAUUUUUCAACUAAUUGGUCUUUUGACCAAUCAUAUCUGAUUUCGUCUUUUUCAGAACUGAUCUGAUUAGUCAAAAGACCAAUUAGUGAAAAAAAAGAUCUGCUUUGGGCUUCCUCUGUAAACACAGCCAUAGUUCUUUGCAAGAAUUUACCAAAACAGCAUAUGCUAGACUUAUUGCUUGUUAGGAACAUGCUAACGUUGCAUUUCUUCUGGGUGAUCUAUAGUUGUUCCAGUGUGUUAAUGGAAGACUAGUCUAUCACUGUCUCUAAAUCACCACGUGGUUUAUGUUACUUCAAUUAGUCAUUUAGAUUAUGCUUAAAUUGCAUUCUGCUUCAUUGGUAGACUUGUUUUUUUUUAAAAGAUUACCCCAGUUGAA